rnacentral:rRNA from 1 species
GUGAGGAAUAUUGGUCAAUGGGCGAGAGCCUGAACCAGCCAAGUCGCGUGAAGGAAGAAGGAUCUAUGGUUCGUAAACUUCUUUUGCAGGGGAAUAAAGUGCAGGACGUGUCCUGUUUUGUAUGUACCCUGAGAAUAAGGAUCGGCUAACUCCGUGCCAGCAGCCGCGGUAAUACGGAGGAUCCGAGCGUUAUCCGGAUUUAUUGGGUUUAAAGGGUGCGUAGGUGGUUUGAUAAGUCAGCGGUGAAAGUUUGCAGCUUAACUGUAAAAUUGCCGUUGAAACUGUUAGGCUUGAGUGUAAAUGAGGUAGGCGGAAUGUGUUGUGUAGCGGUGAAAUGCAUAGAUAUCACGCAGAACUCCGAUUGCGAAGGCAGCUUACUAAGCUACAACUGACACUGAAGCACGAAAGCGUGGGGAUCAAACAGGAUUAGAAACCCGAGUAGUCC